rnacentral:rRNA from 1 species
UACGAGAGCCUCGAGCGUUAUCCGGAAUUAUUGGGCGUAAAGGGUGCGUAGGUUGUUCUGUUAGUCUCCUGUUAAAGCCCCUGGCUUAACCAGGGAUCCGCGGGGGAAACGGCAGAACUUGAAAGUGCGAGGGGUGUACGGAACUCAUGGUGUAGGAGUGAAAUCCGUUGAUAUCAUGUGGAACACCAAAAGCGCAGGCAGUACACUGGCGCAUAUUUGACACUAAAGCACGAAAGCGUGGGUAGCGAAUGGG